rnacentral:rRNA from 1 species
AAUCAAACGCUGGCGGCGUGCCUCAGACAUGCAAGUCGAACGAGAACCUCCCUUCGGGGAGGGGACAGUGGCGCACGGGUGAGUAACACGUGGGUAAUUUACCUUUGGGUGGGGAACAACAGCCGGAAACGGCUGCUAAUACCGCAUAAAUGCAGCGGCUCGACAUCGAGACAGUUGUUAAAAGCGGGGAUCGCAAGACCUCGCGCCUGAAGAGAAGCCUGCGGCGGAUUAGCAGUUGGUAGGGUAAUGGCCUACCAAGGCGACGAUCUGUAACCGGCCUGAGAGGGCGGUCGGUCACACUGACACUGACAUAC